AACGAACGCUGGCGGCGCGCCUAAUACAUGCAAGUCGAGCGAGAAGACGUAGCAAUACGUUUGUAAAGCGGCGAACGGGUGAGGAAUACAUGGGUAACCUACCCUCGAGUGGGGAAUAACUAGCCGAAAGGUUAGCUAAUACCGCGUACGCUCCUUGGACUUCGGUUCAGGGAGGAAAGCGAUACCGUGGGUAUCGCGCUCUUGGAUGGGCUCAUGUCCUAUCAGCUUGUUGGUGAGGUAACGGCUCACCAAGGCUUCGACGGGUAGCUGGUCUGAGAGGACGAUCAGCCACACUGGCACUGCGACACGGGCCAGACUCCUACGGGAGGCAGCAGUAAGGAAUAUUGCGCAAUGGGCGAAAGCCUGACGCAGCGACGCCGCGUGGGGGAUGAAGGUCUUCGGAUUGUAAACCCCUUUCGGGAGGGAAGAUGGAAU
rnacentral:rRNA from 1 species